rnacentral:tmRNA from 1 species
GGGGAUGACUAGGUUUCGACGGGAAUAUUAGAGCAUAGAUCGCAAGUCGGAGGAACACGUCACGAACAAAAAGCAAUAAAUGCUAACAAAAUUAAAAAUGCGUUUGCAAACAUGUUUGGUGGAAGCCAAGCAUAUGCAAUGGCCUAAUUUAAUAUAAAGGCACGCACUCUACCUAUUAUUAUCUACGUAAUAGAUUAGGGUUCAAAUUAGUAGGUUAUAGCUAUUAUUUGUCUAGAUAAUAGAAAGAAUCUUUAGACUGGUAUAACUAUUUUGUCGUUAACUACUUGAUAGUUAUAUGAGAUUAUUUAGUUAACUAAGCUUGUAGAAGUUUAUGUAGCUGUAUUUUCGGACAGGAGUUCGAUUCUCCUCAUCUCCACCA